UGACUUCUGGAGAGUCUCCCCUACGGGAGCGCCGAAGGUGUACGGCGGACAGAUCCGGGUCCGCUUAUCUCUCAGGCAAAAGGACAGAAU
rnacentral:ncRNA from 1 species